AGGAAUGAUGUUUAGAUUAAUAUUUGCUACUUCGGAGGCCUUACGGCUCGAUGAGACAAAACAAAUCACCAUAUGUUCUGACU
rnacentral:snoRNA from 1 species